CCGACGGGGAGGAGAAGAGGAGGAGAGCUCUCCGCCCAGCGCUGGAAAAAGGUACGUUUUUACCCCUUUCCCCCUUCCAGAGCCGGGCGGGAGGGGGAUCCUGAGGGUGGGGGCACCCUCAGGACACUAUAGUGCCAGGAAAACGAGUAUGUUUUCCUGGCACUAUAGUGGUCCUUUAAAACAAUAACCUUUAAAAGCCAACUUUUAGUGUGCAUAGGAAUUACAAGGCCGUUCAUAAUGUGAGAUAAAGAACAGCUUUUUUUAAAAAUCCAAAUAGUCUGUGAACACAAAAUGAGCUUGCGCUGAAAAUUCACUUGCAG